UCUUAUCUUUUUUGUCUAUUUUUCUUAUAUAUAUAUUUUUUAUGCCAUUUGGCAAUAGGUUAAUUAGACCAUUAAUUUGUUCAAUGCUAGUUCUGCUUUAGGGAAGGGUUUAGGAAGCAAUACAAGAAAAAAUAUCCGAACAACAAAUCAAUUGUUGUUGUUGGACAAGCUGGUCGAGAGAAGUGAAAGUCCAUGAGUGAUGAGGUUGGAGGUGCUGAUGAUGAGUCCGCCAAGUCAAAGUCGUGGGUUAAUGGUGAUAAGAACGAUAGAAGCAGUGGAGAUGUUAGUUGGGAUUAGUUAUACAACUUUUUUUUAACUUGAAAUUUGGCGACUAUGUUGACUUAUUAUUUUGUUUUAAUUAAUGCGGAGGAAGACGAUGAGUAAGGACUAUCACAAAAAAAUGGAUUCUGGAUUAAGGUAACUAACAAACAAACAAUUUUCCUUUAUUAAUUUGCGUUUCUGGCUUCAAAUUUUGUAAAAUGUUUGUUUUCAAACUAGGUUAAUCGAUUGGAUAAAUUAGGAUUUCAUGAAGAAUUAUAGUGCAAAAAUUGGGUUUCAUGUUAAUUUUAUUGAAAUCAAUUGAAACUAAUUAUUGAUAAUAAGAUUUUCUGCCUCUCUCUCUCUCUCUCUCUCUCUCUCU